AUCAUGAACAAAACAUUUUUGUAUGUUUGAUUAACAGCUGUUAAAUAUACUCAAUUCAAUAAUUAAUUUUCCUGUGUUGAAGCACUUUUGCAAACAUAGUAAUUAUCAAGCCCCACAAAGAUUCCCACAAGAUCAAGAAACAAGAAUUACAGAGACUUGACUAAGCAAGGCUUUGAAAGAAAGAGAGCGCAACCGCAUCGUGAGAGCUUCUCCAGACUUCCCAAAGGUGAAUCCCUGUAAAAGGUGACAGUUUCCUUGCAGGUGGUUGUAAUAUGGAUAGAAUCAACAUACCAAAUAACUGUAGAAGAAGAACCAUGU